rfam:Euryarchaeota archaeon RBG_13_61_15 RBG_13_scaffold_8805, whole genome shotgun sequence.
GGGGUAGUGGUCUAGCUUGGUAUGAUCCGUGGUUCGGGACCACGUGACCGUCGGUUCAAAUCCGGCCUACCCCA